CUCUUAUCCCUGUGGAUCUUGGGUUUGGAUUGUGCUGUAUGAGGCCCUUCAAUCACCUUUUCCAUCCUGUCUCAUUUCCUGCCUGGGAUAAGCAUGCUGCGUUUGCACGACAGCAAGGGGGUGGGCAGGGUCAUGGCUGGGAGGCCAGCAUUGCCGCCUAUGCAAAUCGACUUGGCAAGAGCACUUCAAGGAUCCUAUCUUCCAAGUGGGACUGCUGUCUCUUUCUUCCUCCCUUAAAAAAACAAGCUUUAAAAAUGCAUUAACAUUGCUUUAAGAUUAGUCAUGAAGUGCCAUCGAAAACCUAAGAAACCAAGGGAUGCUUUUUAGAAAUCAGAAUUGUGAGGGGCUACACAAUGGGCUGGAGGGGGGGAGGUUGGCAGGAACUGCAUGCUCCCAAGUGCAGGGGCUACUAGCGAACUCUUUGCCGGACUUGAAGCAUCAUUCUCGAGGGACACAAAUUGCCCACUUGCUUGUCUGCUCUCUCCUGCCAGGUGAGCACUUUUUCUCCCCUCCUCCUUGAGCUACAGAACUACAUAAGGAGUGGGGAAAAGACAUUUGCACCAUACUACAGAGACUUUGCCUUCUGAAAACACAAAAUAAAAGAGUUACUCCUUCCCCGGACACAACUAUUUUAAGAGGGAUGCACUUGCUUCUGCGAUUCACCUUCCUCAGUCUCCUGUGUCUGUAUGCACAGGGCUGGGCACUUAAGAAACCCAUUCAGAAUGAGCAGUGGAAGAUACUGGAGCUGUGGCAGAACAGAGAGCUGCCUUAGGCAAGCAGAAAAGGCAGGUUUGUCCAACCCCACAUAGGCCACCUUAGAAGCUACCAAACGUCUUGAUGGAUCACAAGUUCCGCAACCUCAAACUAAGUUUCUCAGUGCCCUGCAGUCAUACUUCAGGACCAAGGGCAUCGAAGUGGAAAGAACUGGUCCUCCUUUUGUCCUGCUCUCAAAGGAUCACAAUAUUGGGACACAUGGGGCACAAGAAGAGCAAGAGCUGGUCAUCUUGGAGCCUGGGGUGAAUGAAUAAAUAGGCAUGAAUAGCAGGUGAAAUAUUGUCUUUAUACUGCUGACUUUCCUCUCCUGAACAUCUCUGCUUCACUUCUUUUGAUGUUGCAUUCUUUUUAUAUUUGCCAGAUAGAAUUUCUUUUUGACUUUGGAUAAAUUCUUCCUAUGCCUUGGCACAUCCUAAAUAAAUUUUGCCCAAGCUCUAUUUGAGGGCCAGUGCAGUGUAGUGGUUAGAGUGGUAGAUUAAGAGUGGGGAGACCCAGGUUCAAACCCCAGCUCAACCAUGAAGCUCGCUUGGUGACCUUGGGCCAAUGACUGUUUCUUUUAGCCUAACCUUAUCUCACAGGUUGGCUGUACCAAUUAACAGAAACAGGGAGAGAAAAGCAUGUACUUGAUUGACCCUGAGCUCCUUGCAGGAAAGGCAAAAUUGUCUUGUUUGUCACUAAUAAUCAUCACCAUGUACCAUUUGGCUGGGUUAGGUCCAAACAAAGGUGCGCGUCUUUCCCAUUUUCUUUGGCUGGCAGGAAAAGAAUUAACUGGCAUGGUUGUGCCAACCCAAGCAGUCCAUGUAAUGAAGGUCUAUACUUUCAGCAGACACCUAAGGAACAUAGGAAGCUGCCUUAUUUUGAGUCAAACCCAUUGGUCCAUCUUGCUGAGUAUUGUCAACAUUCACUGGCAGAGGCUGUCCAGGGUUUCAGACAGGGGACAUUCCCACCCCUACCUGAAGAUGAUGGGGGAUUGAACCUGGGAUCUUCUGUAGGUAAGUCAGAUGCUGUACCACUGACUAUUGCCCUUCCCCUGGGGGGAGAGGGCAGGCACUGAAUUAGUUGUUUUCCCAUAACCAGCAGCAAGAAAGAUAUCAGGAU